rnacentral:rRNA from 1 species
AGUGAACGCUGGCGGUAGGCCUAACACAUGCAAGUCGAACGGCAGCACAGUAAGAGCUUGCUCUUACGGGUGGCGAGUGGCGGACGGGUGAGGAAUACAUCGGAAUCUACUUUUUCGUGGGGGAUAACGUAGGGAAACUUACGCUAAUACCGCAUACGACCUACGGGUGAAAGCAGGGGAUCUUCGGACCUUGCGCGAUUGAAUGAGCCGAUGUCGGAUUAGCUAGUUGGCGGGGUAAAGGCCCACCAAGGCGACGAUCCGUAGCUGGUCUGAGAGGAUGAUCAGCCACACUGGAACUGAGACACGGUCCAGACUCCUACGGGAGGCAGCAGUGGGGAAUAUUGGACAAUGGGCGCAAGCCUGAUCCAGCUAUACCGCGUGGGUGAAGAAGGCCUUCGGGUUGUAAAGCCCUUUUGUUGGGAAAGAAAAGCAGCAGGUUAAUACCCCGCUGCUCUGACGGUACCCAAAGAAUAAGCACCGGCUAACUUCGUG